CACAAACUGGGUUAAGAGCAUGGACAACCAAUCAGAGCGCUAAAAGUUAUCUGUCUGUCAGUAACGGUUAAGUUUAAAAUCCAACAGAAAUCCCAAAAUUAGGAAAAACAGAAAGACACCUUCUCUGCUGAGAGAAAAGAAAAGGAAACGAGAAGACCCUGACUCCUCUCUCUUGACUUCCGUUGACGGUUUCUUCUUCCCUCACACUUUCAACCUUCCAGAGAAUUAGCUCGUACUGUAACCCAAGGAGCUUGCAUUGAUGCGUAUAAUUCAAGAUUUCGGAUUGGAUUGUGAUGAUCGGGGCAAGAAGGCUUGUUUUUGGAUAGUAAGAAGUGAGUGAGGGAGUGACUCUGGCAUCUGCGUUGUUGGCGUGGCGAGCGAGGCGAGCUGUUGUGUUUGAUUUCAAGCAUUUUGAUUGUGGUUUGUCAAUUCCAAGUGUUUUUUCAUGGAAGAUUUAUUGUCAUUCAUGAGUGUAUUUGUGCACAUAAUUUUACCGGUGUAGUUAUUGGAGAGCUGAGGAUGCAUAAAUUUGUAGAAGUUGGAAAAUAAUGGUGGCCUAGAAGAAAGCUGAAGUGACGUGCUGGUGCAAAUGUUAAAGUUUCCCUCCUCCAAACCAGAAGAAUAUACAUCCUCAUCUACUUCUGAGACUAAGUUAGUAUCCUUCUCUCAAGUUAAGUUAGCUCAUAAACUCUACACCACUCUGCUAAUAUUUUAGUCUCGGGUUAACUUUUUAUUCCCUUCCUGCUAUGAGAAACACACUGCCAUAACUGUGUUACUACUGAGCCAAAAAGAAAGGUAAGUGAAAUGAAGUUCAAAACAAUCUAAUUUAAAGAAUAUAUCAUUGUGUUAACUGCUCUAACCUGUAGUUCUUGAGAAUUAAAUUCUAAUUAAUUAUGAGCUAAUGGAUUGGCUGAUUACAUGUAGGGAAUCAGGUGGAAGAUACGAUUGCUGCAGUUGCUCGCUUCAUUGAAAAGCUGCAUUCCAGGAUAACUUCACCACCUGAAAAGGAACUUGUAGCAGCUUGUCUCCUUCGUCUUGCCAAAGCAAGAAAGGAGACAAGGACAGUCAUUGGUUCUCAUGCCCAAGCAAUGCCAUUAUUCAUACCCAUUCUCAGGAGUGGUACUUCUGAAGCAAAAGUUAAUGUUGCUGCGACUCUCAGUGCUUUGUGCAAAGAUGACGGUUUACAAGUGAAGGUACUUCUUGGUGGGUGCAUACCACCUUUACUUUCACUUCUGAAGUCUAAAUCAAUUGAGGCUAGGAAGGCUGCAGCAGAAGCUAUAUAUGAAGUUUCCUCUGGCCGGUCUCUGAUGAUCAAGUCGGUAUCAAGAUUUGCCCAGAAGGUGUGACACCGACCUUAUGGGAACAGCUUAAUCCAAAGAACAAGCAGGACAAAGUGGUUCAAGGGUUUGUUACUGGGGCACUGAGAAAUCUUUGCAGGGACAAGGAUAAUUAUUGGAGAGCAACGAUUGAGGCUGGAGGAGUGGAUAUCCCCGUGGGUCUUCUCUCUUCUGACAAUGCUGCUGCCCAGUCCAAUGCAGCUUCUCUAUUGGCCCUUCUAAUGUUGGCAUUUGGUGAUAGUAUACCAAAAGUAAUUGAUUCUGGAGCUGUGCAAGCUUUGCUUCAACUUGUGGAUCAGAAUAGUGAUAUUUCUGUUCGUGCUAGUGCUGCUGAUGCUUUGGAAGCUCUUUCCUCAAACUCAACAAAGGCCAAGAAAGCUAUUGUAGAUGCUGGUGGUGUUACCAUUCUCAUUGGGGCAAUAGUUGCUCCUUCUAAAGAGUGCAUGCAAGGGGAGUUUGGCCAGGCUCUGCAGGGGCUUGCGACAUGAGCUCUAGCAAAUAUCUGUGGCGGGAUAUCUGCCUUGAUAUUAUAUCUUGGAGAACUAUCACAGCCUCCUCUUCUUGCUGCGCCAUUUGCUGAUAUCACCGGAUCAAUUACCGAUGCUUUGAUGGUCUUUGAGCAAAAUGCUGGUGCUGAUGAGGAAAGUUUUGAUGCAACCAAGAUAGAGGAUAUACUAGUAAAGCUUCUGGAGCCGCAUUAAUAAGCUGGUUCAGGAACGUGUCCUUGAGGCCAUGGCAAGCCUGUGUGGCAAUAUCUACCUCUCAAGAUGUCUUGAUCAUGCAGAAGCAAAGAAGGUCCUUGUUGGGCUCAUAACAAUGGCUGCUGGGGAUCCACAGGAGUGUCUAAUACUUACUUUGACCAGCCUAUGCUGUGACAGGGUAGGCAUCUGCGAUGCCUUUGGCAAGAGAGAAGGAUUCAGUUGCUAAUAUCAUUACUGGGAUUAUCCAGUGAGCGGCAUCAAGAAUAUGGUGUUUAUUUUCUGGUAAUCCUAACUGAUCAGGUUGAUGACAGUAAGUGGGCUAUCAUUGCUGGUGGUGGGAUUCCUCAUCUUGUGCAGAUGUUAGAGACAGGGUCCCAGAAGGCAAGGGAGGGUGCAGCACAUAUUCUCUGGAAUCUGUGCUGUCAUAGUGAAGACAUCCGUGCCUGUGUUGAAAAUGCUGGAGCCGGCAACAAUCUGUUCUGCCAUAACGGGCGAAGAUAUCACAACGAUUCUAGCGACAAGAUGAAAAGGCUUUUUUGGUCACCGAUAAAUACCGCAGCGCCUCCCAUAUCAUUUGCAUGCUACAACUAUUUUUUAUUUUAAUAAUAUUUUAUAUUUAUUAAAAAAUCAAA